AUCAACCUGCAGUCCCUGUUUUAGUGGCACCCAAAAAAACGUCUCACUUUUACAAACAAAACCCUAUAGGCAUUUCAAUUCAGUCCGCAAUCCUUUCCUUCCUCUUAUCCACCCUGCGCCGGUGGCCGCCGUGCCUGGCACCGGAGGAUGGAGUGCGCUCGCCGGGAGGAUGGACGGCGCGGAGAGGCGCGCUCGAGCCUGAGCUCAUGUGCCCGCGCCUCGCGCCUCCUUGCACCGCUCCGGCGGCCUCACUCGCCACACGCCGUCGCCGGCGACCACAAGCAGCGACCGUCGCACCUCUCUGCGCGCCACCCCGAAGCCCCAGGCACGCCGCGCUGCCGUCCCCCGCAACCCCGGCCUCCUCCUUGACCUCGCCUCUCCGUGCGAACAAUCGACGUCGCCGGCGGCGGCCUCGGCCACCAUGCUUGAGCUGACGAGCGCCGACCGCACGGGGCUCAUCUCCGAGGUGUUCGACGUGCUAGACGACAUGAGCUGCAGCGUCGUCGAUGCCAGGGCGUGGUCGCAUCGCGGCCGCCUCGCCUGCCUCGUCUACCUGCGGGGCGAGGAUGUUGCCGCAGCCGUUGUGGAGCACAUCGAGGCCCGCCUCGCCUCCCUCCUCCGCGGAGACUCGGAAGCCAGCAGCGGCGCCGUGGCUGCCGUCCCCGCCGGCUCCAUCCCGCACGCCAACCGGCGCCUCCACCAUCUCAUGUAUGCCAGCGGCGACCUGGAGCACGCGUUCCCAACUCCCACGGUGCGUGCUCAUGGAUCUCGAGCCCGACACCAUGGGCUCCGUGCACAAGGGGACCUACGGCCAGAUCUUCCGCCCCGACAACUUUGUCUUCGGCCAGUCCGGCGCCGGCAACAACUGGGCCAAGGGCCACUACACCGAGGGCGGGGAGCUCAUCGACUCCGUCCUCGACGUCGUCCGCGAGGAGGCCGAGAAUUGCGCUGCCUCCAAGGCUUCCAGGUGUGCCACUCCCUCGGCGGGGGCACCGGUUCCAAGAUCAGGGAGCAGUACCCGGGCCGGAUGAUGCUCACCUUCUCCGUGUUCCCAUCUCCAAAGGUCUCUGACACGGUGGUCGAGCCCUACAACGUCACUCUCUUGGUUCACUGGCUGGUGGAGAACGCCGACGAGUGCAUGGUGCUGGACAACAAGGCGCUCUACGACAUUUGCUUCCGCACCCUCAAGCUGACCACACCUAGCUUAGGUGGUGGAAUGAGGACACUCUCCAAGAGAACUUCUUAACACCAGACAUCUGGGUGAUAAAGAAGACCCCUCUUGGAAAAUUGGACCAGGAUAUGUGGGUGUGAUCCAGAAUUUUAUGCCUGUCAGGGCUAACUUGCACCUCCAUCCCUACGCCCCUUUGAUUACAUUUGCAAUUCAAUAUGCAAAUAAGCUGGAUGCUUGGAUGCCCGUGGUGAGUGAAGUAUGGCUUUAGUCUAUCGGUUAAGCUGACUAACUGUUUCAAAAUCUUGAACUAAUGUUUUUUGUGACACCUGAACUGAAGUUGGUCAUGCUAACAAAACCUUCAACUUAUUAGAAAGAAAUUGUAACAACAGUUUAGCUUAUUGUUCUGUGAAGUAACUACUGUUGUACCAGGAAAUUUUGUGCACGUGCAUUCAAUUACAGGUUAUCCGAGCCUGCUUGCACUUGCAACUGAUCAAUGCCGAUCCAGUUGUUCUCAGGAUAGAUAAAAAUCAGUUCUUGUUCAUUAUAGAGGGCAUCCAACAUAAAUAAGAUUUUUAAAUCUGACAAAACAUUUUUAUUGUACAAUUCAGUCUGAAAGAUAAGAGCAAACUUAUCUGCCACUAUAGAGGGAAUCAAACGUAAAAUAGGUGACAUGCAGAUAUUGACAUACGAUUACAUUUUUAUGGCAUUACUAAUCCAGUUAUGGUUCCAUUGUUGUCGCACACCGAACGUUCAAUGAAUUUCUUGAAGAAAAUGUAUGGAGUCUUUUGUUGUGUGCUUCAACCAGGGAGGUAACUACAUUUCUUUCGUUGCUGAAAAAGCUGAGGUGAAUUCUAUGACAGUAAGGGUUGAUGAUAGGAGCACAAGUAAUUCUGAUGAAAUAAUCAUCACGUACGGACAUCACUCUAUACUCCUUCCGUUACAUAAUUCUUGUCGUGGUUUUAGUUCAACAUUGCAUAACCUUCUGGUUUUCCUGAGGUACUGCUCAGUAACUUUUUUUACCUCAUGCAUACAAAGAUAGAACAAGAGUCACCGGAUUAAGAAUUCGAACUUUCAGAAGUUCAAAAAACAAAUCUGCAUAGUCUGUCGAUGGGGAUGGAAGGAAAGAAUUGUGAUUCUAAUGUGCCAUUGACAGUGGCGGGCAUUAAUUGGGGAGGCGGAGAUAGCAGCUUGACAUGCAUGAUGUUUGAUUAGAAUCGUGUUUACUUGGUGAUGCUUUUAGUUUGCUAGAACUUUUUAGCCUGAAAGAAUGCAAAAUGCAUAUACACUGGGAUUAGGAAUCCAUUAAGUUAUCUUAGUUUCUCUUUCUGGUUUGAGUUUAGUAUUAUUUUUUCUUCUUCAUGCAUUUAAUUUGCUGUGCAGGUGUCUUAGAUAAGAUGCUAUAAGGAUUACAUAACUUUCUUUACCGAUCACAGUACCGACGGUGGCAGGCCAUGCUUUCUAUCUGCAGUUCUCCAACUAAAAGUCUAACUGCAGGAGUAUGUAGAAUCUUCUUUACUUAACUAGCUUAUACUCACGGACAUAUCGUGAAGCACAAGCAGCCUUGCAACCACAAACCUUGCAGACUUCUCUUUUCAUAUCCAAACUUUGCAAACAUUUCAUUCAUGUUUUUAAACUUAUUCUACGUUUAUUUUAGUGCACCAAGAAAAAAUAAAUUUGUGACCAUUUGUGCU